rnacentral:rRNA from 1 species
CCUACGGGGGGCAGCAGUAGGGAAUAUUGCUCAAUGGGGGAAACCCUGAAGCAGCAACGCCGCGUGCAGGAUGAAGGUUUUCGGAUUGUAAACUCCUUUUGUUAGAGAAGAUAAUUACGGUAUCUAACGAAUAAGCACCGGCUCACACCUUGCCAGCAGCCGCGGUCCUACGGAGGGUGCAAGCGUUACUCGGGAUCACUGGGCGGAAAGAGCGCGUAGGCGGGAUAGUAAGUUAGAUGUGAAAUCCUAUGGCUUAACCAUAGAACUGCAUUUGAAACUGUUAUUCUAGAGUAUGGGAGAGGUAGGUGGAAUUCUUGGUGUAGGGGUAAAAUCCGUAGAGAUCAAGAGGAAUACGCAUUGCGAAGGCGACCUGCUAGAACAUAACUGACGCUGAGGCGCGAAAGCGUGGGGAGCAAACAGGAUUAGAUACCCCUGUAGUC